CGCCAGACUCCUACGGGAGGCAGCAGUGGGGAAUAUUGCACAAUGGGGGAAACCCUGAUGCAGCAACGCCGCGUGAGUGAAGAAGUAUUUCGGUAUGUAAAGCUCUAUCAGCAGGGAAGAAGGAAGACGGUACCUGACUAAGAAGCCCCGGCUAACUACGUGCCAGCAGCCGCGGUAAUACGUAGGGGGCGAGCGCUAUCCGGAUUUACUGGGUGUAAAGGGAGCGUAGACGGUUAAUCAAGUCUGAAGUGAAAGCCCGCGGCUCAACUGCGGAACGGCUUUGGAAACUGGCGCGCUUGAGUGCGGGAGGGGUAAGCGGAAUUCCUAGUGUAGCGGUGAAAUGCGUAGAUAUUAGGAGGAACACCGGUGGCGAAGGCGGCUUACUGGACCGUAACUGACGUUGAGGCUCGAAAGCGUGGGGAGCAAACAGGAUUAGAUACCCUCGUAA
rnacentral:rRNA from 1 species